UACAGAGGUCUCAAGCGUUGUUCGGAUUCAUUGGGCGUAAAGGGUUCGUAGGCGGCGCGGUAAGUCGGGUGUGAAAUCUUGGAGCUUAACUCCGAAACUGCAUUCGAUACUGCAGUGCUUGAGGACUGGAGAGGAGACUGGAAUUUACGGCGUAGCGGUGAAAUGCGUAGAUAUCGUAAGGAAGACCAGUGGCGAAGGCGGGUCUCUGGACAGUUCCUGACGCUGAGGCACGAAGGUCAGGGGAGCAAACGGG
rnacentral:rRNA from 1 species